rfam:Tilletia controversa strain DAOM 236426 scaffold_1, whole genome shotgun sequence.
GGGCAAAUAGCUAUUGGUAAGGCAUCCUGAUUUCUACUCAGUCUUAGGAGGGUUCGAAUCCCUCUUUGUCCA